rnacentral:rRNA from 1 species
AGCGAACGCUGGCGGCAGGCUUAACACAUGCAAGUCGAACGGGCAUAGCAAUAUGUCAGUGGCAGACGGGUGAGUAACGCGUGGGAACGUACCUUUUGGUUCGGAACAACACAGGGAAACUUGUGCUAAUACCGGAUAAGCCCUUACGGGGAAAGAUUUAUCGCUGAAAGAUCGGCCCGCGUCUGAUUAGCUAGUUGGUAGGGUAAUGGCCUACCAAGGCGACGAUCAGUAGCUGGUCUGAGAGGAUGAUCAGCCACAUUGGGACUGAGACACGGCCCAAACUCCUACGGGAGGCAGCAGUGGGGAAUAUUGGACAAUGGGCGAAAGCCUGAUCCAGCCAUGCCGCGUGAGUGAUGAAGGCCCUAGGGUUGUAAAGCUCUUUUGUGCGGGAAGAUAAUGACGGUACCGCAAGAAUAAGCCCCGGCUAACUUCGUG